CAUGGCCGCCAGCGCCGUGAGGGCCGCGGGGCUCCGGGAGGCCUCGACUGACCCGAACCGAGCCGGUACCGCCGGGCCCGGCACCGCAUCCAGCCCCGGCCUCUGCCCGCGCUGCCCCCGCGCCGCUCCCCGUCACUGGGACCGCCUGGGCUCCGCUGCGGGACACCGCGAUGGGCCGGGGACAGCAGGUGGCAGCUCUGAAGGAGUCCUGUUUUUUGGGGGAAAAAAAUCCCCAAACGGGAAAAAUUCCCAGAAACAUUGAGGGUGGGUAAUGCUGGAAACUAUAUAACUUGUUAAUAGUUUUAAUCAAUUACUUAACUAAUAAAAUUUCAAGUAAUGGUUUAAAUCCAAUUUUAACUGUUUCAAUAGAACCUUACAUAAUAAGUAUUAAUUAAAUUUUAAGUCUUAUUUAAAAUUUAAUUAAUUGUUUUAAUUACCUUUUAAUUAAUUGUUUUCCUUAAUCAUGGAUACUGUUCUUAGCCAGUAUUUAGCAAAGUUACCAUGAGCCACUUCUGCAGAAACACAGCUUGGGGAAAAUGAGUGAAACUUCUUGAAGUUUUGGACCAGAGGGGCCCCUGCUAGAGGAGAUUUCCAGUAGGGACAGCAGCCCUGUGCAGGGAGGGGUCACUGUCAAGGAUGCAAACAAGGGACCGCUCUGAACUGAGCUCAGAACUGAACUGCCCAAGGGCAGCUCUGCUUCUGAGGAUUUCAAAGGACAUCAUCAUUGAGGGUCCUGAGAAAUACAAAUUCCAGCUAGACUUGCCAGACUGAAGAAACAGCCACAGCAGCGUUGGACAAAGCCAAAGGGGCGUUGUUUAUCACAGCAGCAGCUGCCAAGGCAGGUCCUCAACUCCUGCAUCCUGCCCAGUUCCUGGGCACAGAUUGCACAACAAAAGCCCAGAGUGAGAAUCUUUGGUGGUGAUGGGGUUUAGCGUGUUUUUAAUUCACUUUUUAAUCACUGGGGUGAGUAUCUCAAAUGCCUUUAGAAGGUGCAAGUAGGAAAUUAAGGCUGGAGGAACAGUAGCACCAGCAAACUUAGGAAAAAAAAUGAGCAAAUAUUGUAAAUAUUCAAAGAAUACUUGAAUAUUUAGUUACAGUACUUGUUAUCUGCAAUUAAGAGCUGUAGUAAAGAACCACCAAUGCCCACAUGCUUUACUACACCAUUCAAGGGACAGCAAUAACAGUGGUGAUGUGUUUUUGUUAAAUAAAUGGACAGGAUUCAGAUGGUUA